rnacentral:rRNA from 1 species
GACGAACGCUGGCGGCGUGCCUAAUACAUGCAAGUAGAACGCAGUGGCGAACGGGUGAGUAACGCGUAGGUAACUGCCUCAUAGCGGGGGUUAACAAUUGGAAACGAUAGCUAAUACCGCAUACUUUGAGAUGUACCUGCGUUGUAUUAGCUAGUUGGUGAGGUAAAUGCUCACCAAGGCGACGAUACAUAGCCGGCCUGAGAGGGUGAUCGGCCAACCUUGGACUGAGACACGGGCCCGAACUCUGCGGGAAGCAGCAGGAGGGAAACUUCGGCAAAUGACGGCAGGCCGGACGAACAAAGCCGCGGGAGUGAAGGAGGGUUUCGGGUCGUAAAACUCUGUUGUUAGAGAAGCGGUACCUAACCAGGAAGGACCGGCUAACUACGUGCCAGCAGCCGCGGUAAUUC